rnacentral:misc_RNA from 1 species
AAACCUUCAAGCUCUGCUUGGUGUUGGGCGUUUUGUUCCGCCUCCGCGCGUGGACUCGCCUCAAAUUCAUUGGCAGCCGGUUAGUUGGCUUUCGUGCGCAGCACAUUGCGUAGCGGCUCCAGCUUACCUCCUACCAUUAAGCUACUCUACAUC